GUGUAGUAAAGGGAAACAACAGCGGUUAUUUUCGUUUAUAGACAGCGGUUCCACAACCGAGACAUAUACAGGCGAGGCAAAAAGAGAUAGGCUUUUCGCCUCGGUUACGAACCAAGGAAAAAAGAGGUAGGAUUUUGCCUCGGUUCUUAGGUAAUCGAGAUAGUAGCAUGUAUCUUUUUUAUUUAUUUUAGGCCUCGUUUAAUACUGAAUUGAACGGUUCGUGCCCUCACCAAGCCCUAGCCGCGUCAUCACCGUUCUUUUGUUGUCAUCACAGUGCCCUUGUCGCACCCUCGCCACACCCUAGUCGCGUCGUCGCCAUUCUUUCGCUACCAUCACAGUGCCUUGUCGCGUCCUCACCCCACCUUAGUCGCGUCCUCGCCAUUCUUUCGCUG
rnacentral:lncRNA from 1 species